AGCGAGUAAGACAGACUCUUCUGUCUGAUUGAGUGGAAGCAAGUACUAACCUAGAUAGCAUGUGGGUUA
rfam:Lettuce necrotic stunt virus partial p19 gene for 19 kDa protein, isolate L4, genomic RNA